ensembl:lncRNA
GUACAUUCUGUUGCAUGCGGAAUGCAUUCAACUGGGUAAUUCUAAUAACAAUCCACCUGGAACUUUGACCCUCUUGCUUAUGUCACUGUACAGAUGAUUGCGGGUCAGAAUAGGCGGAAAAACAUACUGGCUUGGAAUUUGCUUGGAAUUUAUACAUCUGGCACAUGAAAUAUCAUGAAGCCUGGCACUGGAAAAGGUUUGUCUCAGAUUGAUGGUAUGCAUGAAUACCACCAACUGCCUCAAAACAAGUCUAGCAGCCUCUCCUGAAUUUGGGUCGUCUGGUAGCUUCUUCCAGGGGACAGUGAAAGAAGACAGCAAAGAGCUUAAAAAGCAGAAAAGAGGGGAGGAGACAAGCAUGGAUCAGUUACCAAAGACACCAUAGAUAAACCUUUUGUUAACACAAUUAUACGUGGUUGCAGUCUCUAGCAAGCAACUGUGGCAGUUUCUAUCAUGCAUCUGAGUCAGUCAGACCGGAGACACGGAGGAGGUAGCUGAAGAUGGAGAGCUUUUUGCAUUGGCAGUAAAACAAACAGAGGAUACAUACAGCGGAGAGCUGUGCAGAGGAAUUCCUCCACGUGUCACACAAAAGGAGGGGGGGGGGGGGGGGGGUGAGGAUCAGUGGCAAACGGACCACUUUAGGAGUGAUCGUGCCUGGAACAUGGUGGUAGCUGCUAGGCUACUUCCAUCUCAUCUGCCCUGCGCGACACACAAUCUGCAGAGGACCACCACUAAAGUGUCCCUAAAGGACAGGGGUGUGGAAAACAUCCUGGCUAAAUGUCAGGAGAUUGUUGGGUUCUUCAAACACAGCCGUCAAAUGAUGGAGAGUUGAGAGCAAACUGCACGAGGACAGCAGGAAGAGCCGCUAGUUCAACAUGUUCCACCCACAGGAAUUCUGCCUCGAAGAUAAUCAAAUCCAUUACAUUGAAGUCAAUCAGUCCAGGCUUACGGCCAUGCAACCAGUUCCCUCCUUCUGCCCUAAUCAAUAUUUUACAUCAGAGCAAGCAAGGGAAGGAAACAUAGCCAAAAAGAGGAUUGACUAACAAUGACUAGGGAAGACAUCAAAAAAAAAAAGCCCAGAAAACAAAGACAACGGGAAAAGAAGAGGGAAUAAAUAAAGAUAGAGCGAGACAGAAGCAAGAGCGGUUGAGAGAAGAGACACAGGAGCAGCAGCAACAGCAGCAGCAGCAGCACCACGCUUGGUGCUCUGGCAGAGAUCUAUAAAUAGCUCUUCAAAUCUCUCUAGAAAAAGCCUGCUUCUGCUUAUGCUGCUGCUGCAAAAAAGAUUCAAAAGGGCGACAGAAGAAGAUAUGGAUAUCUUCUCGUCAAAUCCUAACCAGGAUCACGUGCUAUCAAUUAUUAACUGCCUUUCAAUCACACCCCAUAAAUGACCGUAUUAAAAAAAACACUGUUUCAUCGAUCA